ensembl:lncRNA
GACAUGAUAAACAGCUUUGUGGAAUGCACUCAGAAAACGACCAAGUGGGGGGUGUUCCCUUACAAGGAAGAGGGGAAACAGUCGUGGCCAUGGUGGAAAAAGUUGAGGCCUUUACUAGGAAGCUUGAGUUGUUUGAUUUGGACUUGUCAUCUGAAAGGCUACUGGAUUUCAACACACUGAAGAAACGACAAGCAGAGGGACCAGGCCACAGCAUUGUCAUAGAAGUGAUAUAAUAUUUCAUCAAGCAGCUAAGGGACAAUUUCUUCACCAGAUUUGAAGUCUGCAGUCUACCCAGG